rnacentral:rRNA from 1 species
UACGGAGGAUGCAAGCGUUAUCCGGAAUGAUUGGGCGUAAAGCGUCCGCAGGUGGCUAUGUAAGUCUGCUGUUAAAGAGUGAGGCUCAACCUCAUAAGAGCAGUGGAAACUACAUGGCUAGAGUGCGUUCGGGGCAGAGGGAAUUCCUGGUGUAGCGGUGAAAUGCGUAGAUAUCUAGAGGAACGCCAAAGGUGAAGACAGGCGACUGGGCCAAUUCUGACGCUGAGGCACGAAAGCGUGGGUAGCGAACGGG